rnacentral:lncRNA from 1 species
GAAUUUGUAUUUGUGGUCCUGGCAACUGGUCCUUUUUUGGAACACCAUUAUUUUAGUCUUACUGAGAUUUCUCUCUCUUGCUCUCUCGCCCUCCUCCUCCCCAUAGACCAUAAUGCAGCAGCCUAAUAACCACAGCAGCCGGACUCCUAAGGACAAGAGUCUGGAGACUGUGGAGGCUACCCACUCAGCACCCUGGAAUAAACCACAACUCAGCAACAGCAAGGUGGGUUCGGUUUCCAACCAGUAAACAACUAGCCAUACCAUGUUUAUGCCAGGGACCUUGUCCCAAGACUGUUGAAUCACC